rnacentral:rRNA from 1 species
UACGGAGGGAGCUAGCGUUAUUCGGAAUUACUGGGCGUAAAGCGCGCGUAGGCGGCUUUGUAAGUUAGAGGUGAAAGCCCGGGGCUCAACUCCGGAACUGCCUUUAAGACUGCAUCGCUUGAAUCCGGGAGAGGUGAGUGGAAUUCCCAGUGUAGAGGUGAAAUUCGUAGAUAUUGGGAAGAACACCGGUGGCGAAGGCGGCUCUCUGGACCGUAACUGACGCUGAGGCGCGAAAGCGUGGGGAGCAAACAGG